GGUCCUAUAACUCAGUUGGUUAGAGUGUAGAGCUAAUAACUCUAAAGUCGUGAGUUCGAGCCUCACUGGGACCA